AUUUGGGGAUCGUUCGUAUUUUUAACAUAGGUAUAAUUAAUAUUAAUUUUAUUUUAAUUCCGCUUUGUUUUGUUUAAACCUGAUAAAUGGAAAUUUCGGGAGCAAAAUUUGGAACGUUGACAAUAGGUGAAUGCAAUUUUUGUAACUGAAACCUAUUUGGUCCACUAUUAUCUCAAUGACGGAGUUAAAUUACACAAAUGAUCAAAUACUUAUUAAAAUCCAAUUAUCGUUAACAAAUAUAUAUUACGACAGUUGAUUUAAUUACUCUCACCAUUAUAGUGUAAUUUUACUUGUUUAAAAACAAACAAUAUGUAAUAUAUAAACGUAUGUAAACUAAUUUAAAACUUUCAUAAGUAUUGGAUAUAAUUUUACGUCUAUAGAGAAAAAAAAAUUGAAACUACAUACACAAGGUUGAGAAGUAAUGACACUCGUUAUAAAUCUAGGUGACACAACACGAGACGCUAUUAAAAUAAAACGAUAAAAAUUUCUCGUUAUAACUACUCAUCACAAGAAAACAACACGUUUGUAUACUGUUCUUGUUAUUUGAGCGAAUAUACCUAUUAAAUACUAUCCGUAUUUAACAAAGAAUAAAAUAAAUGUGCAGUCGCUUGAGUGUAUUGCGUCACAGCAAUUAUUCCAACCAUCUGUGAUCUCGAGAGCUAAAUUAUUAUUAAACGGUUGAUAUACGGUAGCCAUUCAUUAAAAGGUGGCAAACGAGCAGACAGCCUACCUGAUGGAGGUACGGCUACUAUACGUCGCCUAUGGACAUCCUAAACAUACUUUUGCGGAAGCGUUGCCACCCAUUAUUGGGAAAGAAGGAGAGAAAAGGAUGGGAAAAGGAAAAGGGCAGGAAAAGGUAGGAAAAGGAAAAAGGGCAACCGACGCUCUCACUCGUCAGUUGAAACGCAGCCAUUAAAAACUAUUUCACUCCGAUCUUCUGUGGUAUUUCCCCGGUCGAGUCAGCCCAUGUUCUAGCUAUAGUUACUUGACCAAAACUAGGCUCUACCACCUUUAAAUUGUCUAUACUUUGAGGACCUCCAGUAAUGAACUCGGUGUCCAGGUGCUCACAAUGAUUAUACGUGGGCAACAAAAACUUUUAGUGAAUUUCAUCAUGAGAUAAAAUGUUAAAAUGGCGUAUUCUGUGUAAAUACUCUGCAUUAACAGAAAAUUUCUGCGGAUGUCAGUCUAAAGAAUUUUUACAAAUUAGGUACGUAUAAGGCUACAAUGUCAUUUUAUGAGAUGACUAAGAAACUAGAUAUUGUAAAUUUUUUCCCUCCAAAAUUGCUGAAUUGAGAUCGAUUAUUAUUAAUUACAUAUAUUACGUUAGUAUAUUUUGAUUUUGUCAUUUUUCAAUUGCAUCCAAUAUACGUUACGAAGCGGCCGAAAAAUAAUUCCUUUUUUAGAAACGCGAAGUUAAAA